ACAGUUACAGGACAACAAGAUAUCUGUGGUAGCGAAGACAGCAUUCCGCACCCUCACCAACCUGCAGUCCCUAAGUAUGUCUGGGAAUCUACUGACGUCAGUGAGAGAUCUUUUUCGAGGGUUAAGCUCACUGUAUAUGCUAAAGUUGGAAGAUCUGGAACUACUUGACAUCAGCGAGGACCACUUCAGUUUCCUGUCAAAACUGAAGAUUGUAUAUUUCCACACAUUUCGCUACUGCAGUUACGUACCAAAAGUUCCCCAAUGUCUGCCUAACUUUGAUGG